rnacentral:rRNA from 1 species
GACGAACGCUGGCGGCGUGCCUAAUACAUGCAAGUCGAACGAGAGCGACCGGUGCUUGCACUGGUCAAUCUAGUGGCGAACGGGUGAGUAACACGUGGGUAACCUGCCCAUCAGAGGGGGAUAACAUUCGGAAACGGAUGCUAAAACCGCAUAGGUCUUCGAACUGCAUGGUUUGAAGAGGAAAAGAGGCGCAAGCUUCUGCUGAUGGUUGGACCCGCGGUGCAUUAGCUAGUUGGUGAGGUAACGGCUCACCAAGGCCGUGAUGCAUAGCCGACCUGAGAGGGUGAUCGGCCACAUUGGGACUGAGACACGGCCCAAACUCCUACGGGAGGCAGCAGUAGGGAAUCUUCCGCAAUGGACGCAAGUCUGACGGAGCAACGCCGCGUGAGUGAAGAAGGUUUUCGGAUCGUAAAACUCUGUUGUUAGAGAAGAACAAGUGCUAGAGUAACUGUUAGCGCCUUGACGGUAUCUAACCAGAAAGCCACGGCUAACUACGUGCCAGCAGCCGCGGUAAUACGUAGGUGGCAAGCGUUGUCCGGAUUUAUUGGGCGUAAAGCGAGCGCAGGCGGUUCCUUAAGUCUGAUGUGAAAGCCCCCGGCUCAACCGGGGAGGGUCAUUGGAAACUGGGGAACUUGAGUGCAGAAGAGGAGAGUGGAAUUCCAUGUGUAGCGGUGAAAUGCGUAGAUAUAUGGAGGAACACCAGUGGCGAAGGCGACUCUCUGGUCUGUAACUGACGCUGAGGCUCGAAAGCGUGGGUAGCAAACAGG